rnacentral:snRNA from 2 species
CAAAUUUGCUCUUUUAGUAUUUCUCCAGUAGGUUUCCUGAAGGAGGAAUGUCAAA